GGAAUUUUGGACAAUGGGCGAAAGCCUGAUCCAGCCAUUCCGCGUGCAGGAUGAAGGCCCUCGGGUUGUAAACUGCUUUUGUACAGAACGAAAAGGUUUCUAUUAAUACUAGGAGCUCAUGACGGUACUGUAAGAAUGAGCACCGGCUAACUACGUGCCAGCAGCCGCGGUAAUACGUAGGGUGCAAGCGUUAAUCGGAAUUACUGGGCGUAAAGCGUGCGCAGGCGGUUAUAUAAGUCAGAUGUGAAAUCCCCGGGCUCAACCUGGGAACUGCAUUUGAGACUGUAUAGCUAGAGUACGGUAGAGGGGGAUGGAAUUCCGCGUGUAGCAGUGAAAUGCGUAGAUAUGCGGAGGAACACCGAUGGCGAAGGCAAUCCCCUGGACCUGUACUGACGCUCAUGCACGAAAGCGUGGGGAGCAAACAGGAUUAGAUACCCUGGUAGUCCACGCCCUAAACGAUGUCAACUGGUUGUUGGGUCUUAACUGACUCAGUAACGAAGCUAACGCGUGAAGUUGACCGCCUGGGGAGUACGGCCGCAAGGUUGAAACUCAAAUGAAUUGACGG
rnacentral:rRNA from 1 species